UACGGAGGGGGCGAGCGUUACCCGGAAUCACUGGGCGUAAAGGGUGCGUAGGCGGCCGCGUGUGUCUGGCGUAAAAUUCCACGGCUCAACUGUGGGAAUGCGCUGGAAACUACGUGGCUUGGGUGCGGCAGAGGCAGACGGAACUGCUGGUGUAGGGGUGAAAUCCGUAGAUAUCAGCAGGAACGCCGGUGGAGAAGUCGGUCUGCUGGGCCGUAACCGACGCUGAGGCACGAAAGCUAGGGGAGCGAACCGG
rnacentral:rRNA from 1 species